rnacentral:misc_RNA from 1 species
UGGGACUACUGGGGUUUCUAAUCCCAUUCGCUCCCCUAGCUUUCGUCCCUGAGUGUCAGUUAUGGUCCAGCAAAGCGCCUUCGCCACCGAUGUUCUUCCUGAUCUCUACGCAUUUCACCGCUACACCAGGAAUUCCCUUUGCCCCUACCAUACUCUAGCUGUUCAGUUUCCACUGCCUUUCCGAGGUUGAGCCCCGGUCUUUGACAGCAGACUUGAACUGCCACCUGCGGACGCUUUACGCCCAAUCAUUCCGGAUAACGCUUGCAUCCUCCGUCUUACCGCGGCGGCUGGCAC